GACGAACCGUGCGAACGUUGUUCGGAAUCACUGGGCUUAAAGGGCGCGUAGGCGCUUGCCAAGUCGGGGGUGAAAUCCGGCAGCUUAACUGUCGAAGUGCCUUCGAUACUGGCAAGCUCGAGGGAGGUAGGGUCUGUAGAACUUCUGGUGGAGCGGUGAAUGCGUUGAUAUCAGGAGGAACACCGAUGGCGAAGGCAGCCCCUGGGCUAACACUGACGCUCAUGCACGAAGCGUGGGAGCAAACAGG
rnacentral:rRNA from 1 species